CACGUAGGGGACGAGCGUUGCUCGGAAUCACUGGGCGUAAAGCGCACGUAGGCGGCUUUCUAAGUCAGGGGUGAAAUCCUGGAGCUCAACUCCAGAACUGCCUUUGAUACUGGAGAGCUUGAGUCCGGAAGAGGUGAGUGGAAUUCCGAGUGUAGAGGUGAAAUUCGUAGAUAUUCGGAGGAACACCAGUGGCGAAGGCGGCUCACUGGUCCGGUACUGACGCUGAGGUGCGAAAGCGUGGGGAGCAAACAGG
rnacentral:rRNA from 1 species